CAGUCGCCGCGGUAAUACGGAGGGUGCAAGCGUUAAUCGGAAUUACUGGGCGUAAAGCGCACGCAGGCGGUUUGUUAAGUCAGAUGUGAAAUCCCCGAGCUUAACUUGGGAACUGCAUUUGAAACUGGCAAGCUAGAGUCUUGUAGAGGGGGGUAGAAUUCCAGGUGUAGCGGUGAAAUGCGUAGAGAUCUGGAGGUAUACCGGUGGCGAAGGCGGCCCCCUGGACAAAGACUGACGCUCAGGUGCGAAAGCGUGGGGAGCAAACAGGAUUAGAUACCCGGGUAGUCCCUGUCUCUUAUAC
rnacentral:rRNA from 1 species